rnacentral:miRNA from 3 species
CAUGUGCCCAUCUUCACCAUC